rnacentral:rRNA from 1 species
UGAGUAACGGCGAGCGAAAAGGGAAGAGCCCAGCGCCGAAGCCCGCUCUCGAGAGGGAGCCGGGCAAUGUGGCGUUUAGGAGUGAGCGUGCCGGCGGUUUGACUCGGCAGCAAGUCCCCCUGACCGGGGCUAUGGACCCAGAGUGGGUGCGAGGCCCAUAGCUGCUAGGUCUCCGUCGGAUGCGAUCUCCUUGGAGUCGGGUUGCUUGGGAGUGCAGCCCUAAUCGGGUGGUAAACUCCACCUAAGGCUAAAUACUACCGUGAGACCGAUAGCAAACAAGUACCGUGAGGGAAAGUUGCAAAGAACUUUGAAGAGAGAGUUCAAGAGUACGUGAAACUGCUCAGAGGUAAACGGGUGGGCCCUCGAAGCCCUGUGGCGGGAGGAUUCAGUUCGUUUGCGGGUGCGCAGAGUCCGACUAGGACAGUACUGACCGCGCGACGCGGCAGGUCGGAACCUCGCGAUCUCCUGCUCUCGGACGCAUUUGUUUUCCCGUCCAAAGGACCCAGCAACCGGUUCGGAAACGGCCUUAAGGGCGAGAAACGGCAGGUGGCCGGUGGCUCCGCCUCGUGCGGGUCGUCGGUUGUUAGCCAUCUCGUCGCACGGCACGUGGCCGGACCGAGGUGUCUCUAUGGCCCUGAAUGGGCUUUCUUCCGCCUCCUCCGUUUAGCCGGAUGCCGGGGAGGAUCGUGGCAGAGGUUCGCACUUCCCAGGGCGCACGGACCGACUCCGUGGCCAGGUGGAAAUGGAAGCGUCCUCGUUAGCCGCUGACGCGCCCGUCGGAGGUU